rnacentral:rRNA from 1 species
GAUGAACGCUGACAGAAUGCUUAACACAUGCAAGUCGAUGGGGAAGUGGUGCUUGCACCGUGGCAACCAUGGCGGACGGGUGAGUAACGCGUAAGGGACUUACCUGCAGGACUGGGGUAACAGGGGGAAACUCCUGACAAGACCGGAUAAUGUAAUGGAGCUGCAUGGCUUUGUGAUGAAAGGAGACGCCUGCGGAGAGCCUUGCGGCCUAUUAGCUAGUUGGUGAGGUAAUGGCUCACCAAGGCGAAGAUAGGUAGCCGGCCUGAGAGGGGGGACGGCCACAAGGGGACUGAGAUGCGGCCGUGACUCCUACGGGAGGCAGGAGUGGAGAAUAUUGGACAAUGGGGGCGACCCUGAUCCAGGAAUUCUGUGUGCACGAAGAAGGUUUUCGGAGUGAAAAGUGCUUUCAGAAGAGAAGAAGUAAGUGACGGUACCUGCAGAAGAAGCGACGGCUAAAUACGUG